rnacentral:rRNA from 1 species
UACGUAGGGGGCAAGCGUUGUCCGGAUUUAUUGGGCGUAAAGAGCGUGUAGGCGGCCGUACAGGUCAGCUGUGAAAACUCGAGGCUCAACCUCGAGACGUCGGUUGAAACCGUACGGCUAGAGUCCGGAAGAGGAGAGUGGAAUUCCCGGUGUAGCGGUGAAAUGCGCAGAUAUCGGGAAGAACACCCGUGGCGAAGGCGGCUCUCUGGGCCAUUACUGACGCUGAGGAGCGAAAGCGUGGGGAGCGAACAGG